ACUCCUACGGGAGGCAGCAGUGGGGAAUCUUGGACAAUGGGGGAAACCCUGAUCCAGCCAUGCCGCGUGAGCGAUGAAGGCCUUAGGGUUGUAAAGCUCUUUCAGGUGGGAAGAUAAUGACGGUACCACCAGAAGAAGCCCCGGCUAACUCCGUGCCAGCAGCCGCGGUAAUACGGAGGGGCGUAGCGUUGUUCGGAAUUACUGGGCGUAAAGCGCACGUAGGCGGAUUGGAAAGUUGGGGUGAAAUCCCGGGCUCAACCCGAACGGCUUCAAAGCUCCAAGUCUAGAGGUCGAGAGAGGUGAGUGGAA
rnacentral:rRNA from 1 species